rnacentral:lncRNA from 1 species
AAUAUGGAAAGAGCUUUAUUCAAAGACUGUCGGGUAAAGCGGCUGAAGGCAGAAGUAGAAAAAAGAAACGGAUUCAAAAUAGCUGCAUACAGUGCCAGCCUGAUUCUCGAGGAAAAUCUGUCAGUUGAUGCCGCAGCCACUGUAGUAUGCAGUCAUUUAGUUGAGAAGGAAAAGCAAAUUAUGGCAAAAAGCUCAACAAAGAAACCGUGAGUUUUUCGAAUAUCAUACUUGAAAUUUUCUGUAAAAACAUGCUUUGUUUUCGUUUUGUAUGACAUAUUUUUAGCGGAUGGAAAUUUGUUGCAUGUAGAGGAGAAAAAUUUGAAAGGAGAAGAGAGUUGGGAAAUACCUCCUGUUUGGUUUGAAAUUAUAGAAAACAUCUGUAGUGGAGCAAGAAAAUGGGGCUGCAUCGAGCAGAAAUGAAGUAAGUCUUAUUUGCUGAACUAAAUUUCAUCAGGAAAGUUUUGUUUUAUAGAAUUUUCAAUUAUAGGAAAGUAGUAGCGGCUGAAUUUUGAGAAUUUUUGUAAUAUUAUGCUGUUUCUUCCCAUCUUCUGAGUAUGAUAGGCUCUUAAGGUCGAGCUUUCUGUGUGCAAAUUUCUCUAAACUUGCGUUUGAAAACUAGAUUUUUCGUCAAUUUGAAAUGGACUGUCACACAGUGAAGUGGCUAGAAGUAGGGGAUGCUAGUUGAAAAUGUGUUCUCUAUUGUUCUGCUAUAUUUAGAUGUUGACCACUUCGAUCAUUGUAAUUUGAUAUAUGUGAGAAAGAAAAUAAUUUAUUUACUAAAUUUUUCUCUCCUUUUUCCAUUCAGAAUCGAGAGCGAUCCAGAUCCAGAUCCAGAUCUCAGUCCAAGACGAUGAGAAAGAAUCCUGAUAGGAAUCAUCAUUCUUCAACUUUGAAGGAAAGCUCCAAAUUGGAAACUAAUCGAGAGCGAUCCAGAUCCAGAUCCAGAUCUCAGUCCAAGACGAUGAGAAAGAAUCCUGAUAGGAAUCAUCAUUCUUCAACUUUGAAGGAAAGCUCCAAAUUGGAAACUAAUCGAGAGCGAUCCACAUCCAGAUCCAGAUCUCAGUCCAAGACGAUGAGAAAGAAUCCUGAUAGGAAUCAUCAUUCUUCAACUGUGAAGGAAAGCUCCAAAUUGGAAACUAAUCGAGAGCGAUCCACAUCCAGAUCCAGAUCUCAGUCCAAGACGAUGAGAAAGAAUCCUGAUAGGAAACUUUAUACUUCAACUUUGAAGGAAAGCUCCAAAUUGGAAACUUCAGACGUGGUUCAAAUCGUCGCGGGAUUGCUGCCCGAGCUCCUACCCUCCAUUGUGGAGGGGGUCAUGGAGAAAAUGAAGAAGGUCAAGUGAUGUGUUACCAAAGUGAUGUAUUACCAAAGUGAUGUGUAAUACCAAAUUAUUAUAUUUUCUUAAUAUUUCCCCUCAUCAUGUAUUGAACUGCAAAUUUUUAUAAUUCUUAAUACGAAAUUUAUUUGUGGAUUUUAUCUUUUGUUCCUGACUGAUGGUCCUAUGUCUUCAUAAUUUAUAAGAUUCUCUUUUAUUUUCUUGCUUUAAUUUGUUUGUUUUGUUCUUAAGAUUUUUUGAUCUCUUCAAAAGACUGUUAAAGUAACUAUAUAGUAUAUAACUUUACUAGAAUAGUUAGGAAAUGAUUUGCCAUUUGUUCCUCAGGCACUGUGAUUUUAUUUCUUGACUUUAAUUUUCCUUCCAUUUUUGUUUUAUUCUUCACAUUUUUUGAUCUCUUCAAAGACUGUUAAAGUAACUAUAGUAUAUAACUGUACUAGAAUAGUUAGGAAAUCAUUUGCCAUUUGUUCCUCAGGCACUGUGAUUUUAUUUCUUGACUUUAAUUUUCCUACCAUUUCCAAAGUGUCUUAAGUUACAUUCUAGUUCAUUACUAAUGUUUGAAAUUCCCUAUGAUAAAGUUAUUGUGCUCAGAAUAGUCAGGAAAUCAUUUGCCAUUUGUUCCUCAGGCACUGUGAUUUUAUUUCUUGACUUUAAAUUUCCUUCUGUUUCCAAUGUAUUUCAAGUUACAUUCUUGUGAAUUAUUAAUUUUUGCAAUUCCCUAUGAAUAAAGUUUCUGUGUUCAUUUUUUUAAAAAAAAAUUCAUUUAUUAUCUUCCUCUUUCUUCUCGUUAGUUCAGGGUAAAUGUGUAAAAUUUCUGACAAAAUAUUUUCCUGGAAAAAUACUGAUAGUUCUGGAAAUGAAAAUUUAAGUGAUUUUUCUCCCAUCACUUCAGAGAAAUUACUUAAAAAAUUUAUUUGCAGUUAAUAGUGAUUUACCAGCACAAAAGUCAUGCUGGUGAAUUUGUUAAAUCAUUGCAUUGCAUGGAUUGACAACCCUCAUUAUGUUUCAGUGAAUGCGAUUGCUGCAAUUCUAGCGAAGAACCUUAUGUUUUAAAUGUUUUAAUCUUAUAUUCUUCACCUUAUG